GAUGAACGCUGGCGGCGUGCCUAAUACAUGCAAGUCGAGCGAACAGACGAGGAGCUUGCUCCUCUGACGUUAGCGGCGGACGGGUGAGUAACACGUGGAUAACCUACCUAUAAGACUGGGAUAACUUCGGGAAACCGGAGCUAAUACCGGAUAAUAUAUUGAACCGCAUGGUUCAAUAGUGAAAGACGGUUUUGCUGUCACUUAUAGAUGGAUCCGCGCCGCAUUAGCUAGUUGGUAAGGUAACGGCUUACCAAGGCGAAGAUGCGUAGCCGACCUGAGAGGGUGAUCGGCCACACUGGAACAGAGACACGGUCCAGACUCCUACGGGAGGCAGCAGUAGAGAAUCUUCCGCAAUGGGCGAAAGCCUGACGGAGCAACGCCGCGAGUGAUGAAGGUCUUCGGAUCGUAAAACUCUGUUAUUAGGGAAGAACAAAUGUGUAAGUAACUAUGCACGUCUUGACGGUACCUAAUCAGAAAGCCACGGCUAACUACGUG
rnacentral:rRNA from 1 species